rnacentral:rRNA from 1 species
UACGUAGGCAGCGAGCGUUGUUCGGAAUUACUGGGCGUAAAGAGUGUGUAGGCGGUGCUCCCAGUCUGUUGUGAAAUCUCCCGGCUUAACUGGGAGGGUGCAGCGGAAACUAGAGUGCUAGAGGGUGGGAGAGGUAAGCGGAAUUCCUGGUGUAGCGGUAAAAUGCGUAGAUAUCAGGAGGAACACCUGUGGUGUAGACAGCUUACUGGACCACUUCUGACGCUGAGACACGAAAGCGUGGGUAGCAAACAGG